rnacentral:lncRNA from 1 species
CUCCCACACCUGGAAGCUAAUGAGUAAUGAGCACUAUUAAGGCCUAUUUCAAAUGUAAAAAACCUUGAGAUAAUGUACUAAAUUGUUCAGAAGGUUGUUUUCUUAGUAGAAUGCUACAGGAUUUUCUUUAGCCAUCCGGAGUUCCUGCCUUCGUCCCAGUGCCAGUAAAGACCAAGGUGGAAGAAUUUCCAGUGUUGUUGAGAACCGGACAAAACUUCGGCUGAGAAACGGACGAGACUUCGGAGCUGUUGCUGUUUCUGCUACUACAGCUUAGGCUAGCUGCCUGCAGAACUUACCUGGACUGUGAACUUACCUGGACUGUGAUUUACCUGGACUGUGAGUUAAUCCAUUGAGGCACUGCUUUACUUGGACUGAGACAACAAACUGUAAUCUACAACAAAUUGUAACUCGGUAUCUUUGCUAACGGUGUCAUUGCUGGUAUAAUUUUUCCAAGGGCUUCUUGCAUGGAGCCAUCAAUUGGCUUGGUAUUGUGGCAUUUUGUAUCCUCCCUUUCUGUUUGUAGCAGGUUAUUUAUGGUGUUUGUGUAAAAACCACUAUGGUCGUUAUUUAAAUUAAACAAAAGGGGGAAAUGUUAGAGUCUGUAAACAAGUCAAAAUAACACCUGGCAUUUUGCCAGGGGAAUGUUAGAGUUCUUAAACAAGUCUGGAUGGUGCCUGGCAAAAUGCCAGAGGGAGUGGUUUGAGAAGUAACAAAAGUG